rnacentral:rRNA from 1 species
CGAUAGACACCGCGUGACAUUGCAUCGGUGAUUAGUGGCGAACGGGUGAGUAACACGUGGUAACCUGCCCUUAACUCUGGGAUAAGCCUGGGAAACUGGGUCUAAUACCGGAUAUGACUCCUCAUCGCAUGGUGGGGGGUGGAAAGCUUUAUUGUGGUUUUGGAUGGACUCGCGGCCUAUCAGCUUGUUGGUGAGGUAAUGGCUCACCAAGGCGACGACGGGUAGCCGGCCUGAGAGGGUGACCGGCCACACUGGGACUGAGACACGGCCCAGACUCCUACGGGAGGCAGCAGUGGGGAAUUAUUGCACAAUGGGCGAAAGCCUGAUGCAGCGACGCCGCGUGAGGGAUGACGGCCUUCGGGUUGUAAACCUCUUUCAGUAGGGAAGAAGCGAAAGUGACGGUACCUGCAGAAGAAGCGCCGGCUAACUACGUGCCAGCAGCCGCGGUAAUACGUAGGGCGCAAGCGUUAUCCGGAAUUAUUGGGCGUAAAGAGCUCGUAGGCGGUUUGUCGCGUCUGCCGUGAAAGUCCGGGGCUCAACUCCGGAUCUGCGGUGGGUACGGGCAGACUAGAGUGAUGUAGGGGAGACUGGAAUUCCUGGUGUAGCGGUGAAAUGCGCAGAUAUCAGGAGGAACACCGAUGGCGAAGGCAGGUCUCUGGGCAUUAACUGACGCUGAGGAGCGAAAGCAUGCGGGAGCGAACAGGAUUAGAUACCCUGGUAGUCCAUGCCGUAAACGUUGGGCACUAGGUGGUGGGGGACAUUCCACGUUUUCCGCGCCGUAGCUAACGCAUUAAGUGCCCCGCCUGGGGAGUACGGCCGCAAGGCUAAAACUCAAAGGAAUUGACGGGGGCCCGCACAUAGCGGCGGAGCAUGCGGAUUAAUUCGAUGCAACGCGAAGAACCUUACCAAGGCUUGACAUGAACCGGAAAUACCUGGAAACAGGUGCCCCGCUUGCGGUCGGUUUACAGGUGGUGCAUGGUUGUCGUCAGCUCGUGUCGUGAGAUGUUGGGUUAAGUCCCGCAACGAGCGCAACCCUCGUUCUAUGUUGCCAGCGCGUGAUGGCGGGGACUCAUAGGAGACUGCCGGGGUCAACUCGGAGGAAGGUGGGGACGACGUCAAAUCAUCAUGCCCCUUAUGUCUUGGGCUUCACGCAUGCUACAAUGGCCGGUACAAAGGGUUGCGAUACUGUGAGGUGGAGCUAAUCCCAAAAAGCCGGUCUCAGUUCGGAUUGGGGUCUGCAACUCGACCCCAUGAAGUCGGAGUCGCUAGUAAUCGCAGAUCAGCAACGCUGCGGUGAAUACGUUCCCGGGCCUUGUACACACCGCCCGUCAAGUCACGAAAGUUGGUAACACCCGAAGCCGGUGGUCCUAACCCCUUGUGGGAGGGAG